rnacentral:rRNA from 1 species
AUUGAACGCUGGCGGUAUGCUUAACACAUGCAAGUCGAACGGUAACAGGCCUUCGGGCGCUGACGAGUGGCGGACGGGUGAGUAACGCGUAGGAAUCUGCCUCAUAGUGGGGGACAACGUGGGGAAACUCACGCUAAUACCGCAUACGCCCUACGGGGGAAAGCGGGGGAUCUUCGGACCUCGCGCUAUGAGAUGAGCCUGCGUUAGAUUAGCUAGUUGGUAGGGUAAAGGCCUACCAAGGCGACGAUCUAUAGCUGGUCUGAGAGGACGAUCAGCCACACUGGGAGUGAGACACGGCCCAGACUCCUACGGGAGGCAGCAGUGGGGAAUAUUGGACAAUGGGCGCAAGCCUGAUCCAGCAAUACCGCGUGUGUGAAGAAGGCCCUAGGGUUGUAAAGCACUUUCAAUGGGGAGGAAAACCUGCCGGUCAAUACCCGGCAGCUUGACAUUACCCAUACAAGAAGCACCGGCUAACUCCGUGCCAGCAGCCGCGGUAACAC